rnacentral:rRNA from 1 species
AGAGUUUGAUCCUGGCUCAGGACGAACGCUGGCGGCGUGCCUAAUACAUGCAAGUAGAACGCUGAAGAGAGGAGCUUGCUCUUCUUGGAUGAGUUGCGAACGGGUGAGUAACGCGUAGGUAACCUGCCUUGUAGCGGGGGAUAACUAUUGGAAACGAUAGCUAAUACCGCAUAACAAUGGAUGACACAUGUCAUUUAUUUGAAAGGGGCAAUUGCUCCACUACAAGAUGGACCUGCGUUGUAUUAGCUAGUAGGUGAGGUAAUGGCUCACCUAGGCGACGAUACAUAGCCGACCUGAGAGGGUGAUCGGCCACACUGGGACUGAGACACGGCCCAGACUCCUACGGGAGGCAGCAGUAGGGAAUCUUCGGCAAUGGGGGCAACCCUGACCGAGCAACGCCGCGUGAGUGAAGAAGGUUUUCGGAUCGUAAAGCUCUGUUGUAAGUCAAGAACGGGUGUGAGAGUGGAAAGUUCACACUGUGACGGUAGCUUACCAGAAAGGGACGGCUAACUACGUGCCAGCAGCCGCGGUAAUACGUAGGUCCCGAGCGUUGUCCGGAUUUAUUGGGCGUAAAGCGAGCGCAGGCGGUUUGAUAAGUCUGAAGUUAAAGGCUGUGGCUCAACCAUAGUUCGCUUUGGAAACUGUCAAACUUGAGUGCAGAAGGGGAGAGUGGAAUUCCAUGUGUAGCGGUGAAAUGCGUAGAUAUAUGGAGGAACACCGGUGGCGAAAGCGGCUCUCUGGUCUGUAACUGACGCUGAGGCUCGAAAGCGUGGGGAGCGAACAGGAUUAGAUACCCUGGUAGUCCACGCCGUAAACGAUGAGUGCUAGGUGUUGGAUCCUUUCCGGGAUUCAGUGCCGCAGCUAACGCAUUAAGCACUCCGCCUGGGGAGUACGACCGCAAGGUUGAAACUCAAAGGAAUUGACGGGGGCCCGCACAAGCGGUGGAGCAUGUGGUUUAAUUCGAAGCAACGCGAAGAACCUUACCAGGUCUUGACAUCCCGAUGCUAUUUCUAGAGAUAGAAAGUUACUUCGGUACAUCGGUGACAGGUGGUGCAUGGUUGUCGUCAGCUCGUGUCGUGAGAUGUUGGGUUAAGUCCCGCAACGAGCGCAACCCCUAUUGUUAGUUGCCAUCAUUCAGUUGGGCACUCUAGCGAGACUGCCGGUAAUAAACCGGAGGAAGGUGGGGAUGACGUCAAAUCAUCAUGCCCCUUAUGACCUGGGCUACACACGUGCUACAAUGGUUGGUACAACGAGUUGCGAGUCGGUGACGGCGAGCUAAUCUCUUAAAGCCAAUCUCAGUUCGGAUUGUAGGCUGCAACUCGCCUACAUGAAGUCGGAAUCGCUAGUAAUCGCGGAUCAGCACGCCGCGGUGAAUACGUUCCCGGGCCUUGUACACACCGCCCGUCACACCACGAGAGUUUGUAACACCCGAAGUCGGUGAGGUAACCUUUUGGAGCCAGCCGCCUAAGGUGGGACAGAUGAUUGGGGUGAAGUCGUAACAAGGUAGCCGUAUCGGAAGGUGCGGCUGGAUCACCUCCUUU